UGGUUUUGUGUCUGUAAGAGUUUUAAAAUCACCCUCUAGGUAACGAAUUCUUUCAAUUUUGAUAGCUGCAAAGUGGUCCUGUGAACAACCACAGGGGGAAGAAGAGUCUUGUCUUAUCUGCAUGGGGUGAUGAUUCUAUGCUCUCAGAAGAGUAUAUUAACUCCUAUUAUAUUCCAAGUAGUUAUCAAUCUUUUGGCGAACAAACACAGCAGAAUUUGAAAAGGUUGAAUGAAGAUGUUAUAGACUAUGAUCUUCUUGAAGACUUGGUAUGUCAUGUUGAUGAAACAUGUAGUGAGGAUGCCAUACUCAUUUUUACCUGGAGUGUCAGAAAUCUACAUUUUAUUUGAUAGGUUAGUGGCUUCUUAUCGAUUUGGUGGACCAUCUUCAGAUCCUUGACAUUCAUCUAUAGCAUCAACUGAUCAAAAAAAGGUGUUCUUACGACCUCCUGAUAACAUAUGGAAGGUAGAUUUUGCUUUAUUUUACU